AAGAUGUGUAUAAGAGACAGGUGAAUCAUCGAAUCUUUGAACGCACAUUGCGCCCGGCAGUACUCUGCCGGGCACGCCUGUUCGAGCGUCAUUUCAACCCUCAAGCGUGUCUUGGUGUUGAGGCCCUGUAGCGUCUACAGGCCUCCAAACAAAGUGGCGCCCUGCUCGACGUCUUCCACGCAGUACAUUCUCGUGCCUGAUAGUCGGGGUAGCGGCAGCCGUAAAAGCUCCAUAUCUUUUGGCUUGACCUCGGAUCAGGUGGGACUACCCGCUGAACUUAAGCAUAUCAAUAAGCGGAGG
rnacentral:misc_RNA from 1 species